AAGAAAGUAAAUAAGGGCGUAUGGGGAAUGCCUAGGCUCUUGGAGGCGAAGAAAGACGUGGUAAGCUGCGAAAAGCUCCGGGGAUUUGCAAACAAGAUUUGAUCCGGAGAUUUCUGAAUGGGACAACCCGUCAGGUAGAAGACCUGACACAUCGCAAGAUGGGCCAACCCUCUGAACUGAAACAUCUUAGUAGGAGGAGGAAAAGAAAGAAACAUCGAUUUCCUGAGUAGCG
rnacentral:rRNA from 1 species